rnacentral:tRNA from 1 species
GCCGAAAUCGCUUAAUGGUCAAAGCGAGGGUCUCAUAGCACUUACAAGCGAAGUUAAAGAGCCUGAAUCCAGGUGCAAUCCCUAGCUCACAGUUCAAUCCUGUGUUUUGGCA